UGCCUUUCCUCGCCAGCUAAAUGGCUGCGCCCAGAGCAUAGGGAGCAGUGCAGGAGGCGGAAUGCAAGGCAGUAAGGAGCCUGCGGCCGGCGAUCGCUGCUGUCCUUUUUCACGCAGCUUGGAUCGAUGGCAUUCUUGUGGGCUGCUGGUGUUCUGAAAGAACUUUAAACGUGGAUGUGUUCGACCCUCUCAAAUCUGUUCCACUCAUUGUCCUCUUUACAGUGGAAACACAUUGCAAGAGGUGGAUAAACUACAAUUUCAAUACUGUAAUCUUAUUCAAAAUUAUUUUUAGCGCUGGGAGACUGAAUAUUCUCCUUCUGGAGUCAUCAUAUGUCAGAAUUGUUCAAGGCUUUGUGAAACUGUUGCCCAAUAGGUGAACAUGGAGACGCAGCUAGACCCCAUGAAGGAUGAUUUGCCUUUAAUGGCAAACACUAGUUACAUGCUUUUAAAGCACUAUGUAUUGGACUUGGAUGUGGAUUUUGAAAGUAAAGUUAUUGAAGGCAGCAUAGUUUUGUUCUUUGAGACUGGGAGCCAGUACAGGAAAACCAUCAGUGCUGGCAAAGAAUGCUGCCAGUCACAGUUUGAUGAAACCUGUAAAAUGAGGGCAUCUGAGCCCUGCCGCAUUCCUAUGAUAAAUGUUAGUACUUGUUCAUCUAAAACGGAAUGUAAUGAUUUUGCUGUCAGUGGUAAAGAAGAGGAAGCUACUUCUGAUGAAAAUGGUAACUAUAGCAACAAUGAACAGGCUUCUGGGAUUUCUAGUUCAAAGGACUGCUAUGACAUAGAGGAUCAUGGAAACAAGGAUUUUCUGCUGGUAUUGGACUGCUGUGAUUUAUCUGUGCUAAAGGUUGAAGAGUUAGAUGUUGCUGCUGUGUCAGGCAUUGAAAAAUUUACAAGGUCUGCCAAGCUAACUGGUGUUUCAAAGGAGCUGGAAAAUAUCAGGAAUCAGAUUGUACAUGAACUUGUGACUUUACCUGCAGAUCGCUGGAAGGAACAGCUAUACUAUUUUACUCACUGUAGCCAGGCACCUGGCUGUGGGGAGCUUCUGUUUAGUACUGGCACCUGGAGCUUGGAGAUAAGGAAAUCAGGAAUUCAGUCUCCAGCGGACUUUCCUCAUGCAAUAAGAAUAUGGUACAAAACCAAGCCAGAGGGAAGAUCUGUUACAUGGACUACAGACCAGAGUGGCAGGCCAUGUGUUUACACAAUGGGAUCACCAAUAAACAACAGAGCCCUCUUUCCAUGCCAAGAACCACCAACUGCCUUGUCAACCUGGCAAGCCUCAGUUCGAACAGCUGCAGGCUUUGUUGUGUUAAUGAGUGGUGAAAACUCAGCAGAACCAGUACAGCUUCGAGAAGGUAUCUUGAGCUGGUACUACUAUGUGUCUAUGCCAAUGCCAGCAUCCACCUUCACUAUUGCUGUGGGGUGCUGGCAGGAAGUUAAACAGCAGUCCUUCAAACAAAAAGCUGCUAUUGGAACAAACACUGAAUUUUCCUUGCCAUCAUCACAAACUGAUUUAAGGUGGCAUGAAGAAAUCUGUGGUCAUGUGGAAUAUCCCUGCCGUUUCCAAAAUCCUGCUGCCAGGUUGCAAGCAGUCAUUCCUUAUAGAGUCUUUGCUCCCUGGUGCCUUAAGGAAAGCUGUGAAGAAUAUUUGCUUCAGUUAGUUCCUCAGUGCCUCUCAGCUGCUUAUGCCACACUGGGUACCCACCCCUUUUCCAGGCUUGAUGUUCUGAUAGUUCCUUCCAACUUUUCCAGCCUGGGAAUGGCUAGCCCACACAUCAUCUUUCUGUCACAAAGCGUACUGCCAGGAGGAAGCCAUCUCUGUGGAACUCGUCUGUGCCAUGAAAUUGCUCAUGCUUGGUUUGGACUAGCCAUUGGUGCUCGUGAUUGGACAGAAGAAUGGAUAAGUGAAGGGUUUGCCACUUUUUUAGAAGAUAUAUUUUGGGCUAGAGCACAACAGCAGCUGCCACAUGAUGAAAUAAAAGAGCAACAGGAAUUGAAAGCUUUACUUCGCUGGCGCAGACUCAGAGAUGAGGUGCAAAACUCUGAAGAAGAGCUGCAAGUUUUAAGGCCCAAAAAGGAGACCACAGGAGAAGUGAGUGAGUCUGGAGCCUCUGUUGUCAAAUAUGGUCUUAAAGCAGAAAAAAUCUUCAUGCAGGUUCACUAUUUGAAGGGUUAUUUUCUUUUACGAUCUCUGGCAAGGAAAAUAGGAGAGGUCUCAUACCUUGCAUCUUUACGGAAAUUUGUCAUUAAGUUCCAUGGGCAGCUUGUCCUUUCUCAGGAUUUUCUUAGCAUGCUGUUGGAAGACAUUCCUAAACAAAAACAGUCUGAGUUAACUGUAGAAAGUAUCUUCCAGAACUGGCUGGAUACUUCUGGAAUACCAAAGCCCCUGCUGGAGGAGGGAGAGACCUGGAAGGAGUGUCAGCUCGUCCAGCAAGUGAGCGGCGAGGUCACAAAAUGGAUUCAGACAAACCGGAGGAUCAGAAAAAGCAGCAAAAAGAAAAUGAAGCAGGAUGAAGUUGUUUUCCAGCAGCUUCUCCCUGACCAGCUGGUCUUACUUCUGGAGUUUCUCUUGGAGGAGAAGACAUUGUGUCCUAGAAUACUGCAGUGCUUAGAGAGAACCUACCAGCUCCAGGAGCAAGAUGCUGAGGUUCGUCAUCGGUGGUGUGAACUUGUCAUUAAACACAAAUAUGAGCCUGGGUAUGGAGACAUUGAGAGAUUCCUUAGAGAGGAUCAGGCUAUGGGUGUGUAUCUCUAUGGUGAAUUAAUGGUGAAUGAAGAUGCAAAACAACAAGAACUUGCACGGAAAUGCUUUGCUGCAGCACAAGAACAUAUGGAUGCAUCCUCAGCCAAAGUGGUGGCAGAGAUGUUAUUCUGAAAAGCCCAGCAGCGGGAGCAGUGAGUUACAUACAUGUAGGCAUAGCUGGAGAACGUGGAGAAUGGCUUUGUUGUAAUGGACUAUACAAGAGGCAACUGAAAGAUCACAGACAACUCUUUUAAUAGAUCUUCUGCUAAACUCCGAUGGUACUAGGAUUUCAUUGACCCAGGACAUCAAAGGAAGGAUUAUGUGACUGCUAAAACAAUCAGCUGACAGAAAUAUUUACCUUUCUGUAUUUCUAGAGGUCCACUGUAACUGAGAACGCAAGACAAACUACACACACACGAGCUUCUCUGACUCUAGGUAAUUCUUUGAUACAGGAAUUUCUGGAUUUAUCCUUGUGCUUUGGUAAUACAAUCAUUCUGGUUUGCAGAUGCCAAAGAUUCUUGAUUUGAACAUCUUUAUUAAUUUGGGCAUUCUGAAAAUGGAUGGAGUUGUAUUGUGUACUUAAAACUUUGUUUGUAACUUCUAUGUCAUAUUUAUAAAGCCUCAGUGUGAAAUCAGCAGGGGCUGGGGUGGGGCUUGUAAGAUUAGAUAGAGGCAGAAAUAAACUGUGGAAAGUUACCUGCCAUCAUCCUAGUGAUGGAAUGGGACUGAAGAAAAAACAAAGAUCAUCAUGCUCUCUCUGUCAUGUUUAGGUGAAAUUUUACUAGAAGUGUCAGACCUCCCAUUUUCUGAAAAUGUCUUUCAUGCCUUUGUGAUACUUAUUUUGCAAUGAUAUCUCAAGUGUAUCCUUUCCUGAUCAGUGAAUCUCUACAUUUUUAGAAGACAUCUUCAUUGUUCCUUUCAGAGAGUAAGAAUUUAAACCACAAAAAUCUGUGAACUUAUUUCCCUUGUACUCUAUUGUUUUAUAUCAAAUCCUCUUUGAUAAUAAUAAAAUUAUCAAUUUUUUUU